UUUGCCCUUCUUCAAUGAAGUUUCAAUGAUUGUUCGAUGUAUCAUUCAGUUUCUUGGAACAAUUCAGCCCUUCUAUAUUAAAUGUCAUCAUGAAUCAAUGCAAUUCAACCGUUUUUGCUUCAAUUGUCCCAUCCGUUUCUAGCAAUCAGCAUUUAACAUCCAUAUUCCGUUUCUUUCUUCAUCUGGCGCAUCAUCUUCCUCCCUUAACCCUACGACGCAAACCGGAAGCAAGUGAGACAUCAACCGCCACCCAUUAAAUCCAAUCCAUUUAAUCUUCUGCUUCUUUAUAUUGGUAUGGCCACGAUGAUAUCAGACGAAGGGAGAUGAUAGAAGCCGGUACCCUGGCCGCCUCCGGCCAAUGGCGGACAGGGUACCGGCGACUGCGAGUUAUUCAGGUCGGCGGCGUUUGACAUGGGGAAGCAUAUUGUUGUAUCGAUUUGCAUACUGGAAGAUAAAUAAAGAUAUUAGCAGACACCGAACCAAUGUUGUAUCAACCAAUUUAUAUUUGUUUACUUUCUAAAAUUGGGUUGCAUAUGAAAACUAUCAUUGUUUUCAUUCAGAAUGUGAUUGGUGAAUGACAACAUAAUGUAUUGUCGUUCUUGCAUUCCAUCAUGUUUUUUCUUGUAUGGUGAGCUAUAAUAAUGAAAAUUCAGUUCCAUUUCCUUCUCCAAUCAUCAGCCACCUUAUGACUCUUCUCAUAUUUUCAGUGAAAACUUAAAAAAUAGAAUAAAGUUUUAUGAUCUCUCUUAAUUUUUGGGGUGUGAGGAUGUAGCUCUUGAUUUUUGUUUUAAAUCUUAUUUUACAUUUUUGCAGAUGAUGAGGCCUAUUACUUUAAUUAGUUCCUAGAUUCAAGUGGAGGUUACUGAAUGUGUGGUUGGUUGAACAAAUUUGUUGUGGAAUCAAAUUAGUGACUCGGUUGAUGAGUUAUAGCGGCUGAAAAGAAGGCUAACUUAAAUAAUGAGCAACUGUAAUGCAGCUGAUGCUUUGUGUCUUCAUUUUUAUACAGUACUAUGUUCAUCUUGGAGUGAUAUCUGGUGAUUUAGCAAGAUUUGAGUAGUGGAAGAUUUAGUAAAGACUUAUCGAGAUAUCUGGUGAUUCUACCAAAUCUUAGAUGACCACCCACUGGGUUGAAUGGAUCGUGUUCAGAUCAACCCACGAAAUCUCGGUUUGUGUUCGGGUUCAAAUGUAUGAUACGAUUUUCGGGUUAGGGUCGAGUUUGGGUUCGUGUAAAUUUUCGGGUUCGGAUAGGGUUGAACCCACCAAUCUGCGAACACGACCCGAAUCCACCGCAUUUAAUCUCACUUGAUAUAUGUAUUUAUCUGUUAGCAAUCUGUUUUUUUAGAAAAAUCUCGA